GGCUACCACCAUACCACCCUGAAUACGCCCGAUCUCGUCUGAUCUCGGAAGCUAAGCAGGGUUGGGCCUGGUUAGUACUUGGAUGGGAGACCGCCUGGGAAUACCAGGUGCUGUAAGUG
rnacentral:rRNA from 1 species